GUUUGAGACUCAUAUAAUCAAUCCCAGACAUUGUUGGUGCAUGUAAGCCCACUACGCAUAGUUCCAUCCUGAAGAAGAAAAUGUCACCAACUUCAAUCCCAGGUACAUUUCCAAUCCUCUUUGUUUGGUUUGUACGCAUUCCCUUUAACAUCAUCAUCUUAGAAGCUUUUAAGUCUGGCCUUCUACCAGAACCUGCACCAUACCUCGGUUCAUCAAUUUGAGUCAUCCUUCUUCUGAACAAGUCAAAAACUAGUAGUAUCCUCCUCACUACCUCCUUGUCACCAUCAGCUUUCUUAGCCUGAUCCAAGUCAACAAGUUUAAAAGACAUCAGCAAUUGAUUUAACAAAGGUUCAACAUCCACUUCCACAACAUUCUCCGGAGGAACUUUUCGAGGCUUUUUCGGUCCUCCCUUUUUCUUUCCACUACCGGAGUCUCCUACAUUAUUAACAUGUCCACUACUUCCAUUUGCAGUUUGAUUUCCAAAUGAAUUAACAGGAAUUGGAGAUAUAGGUUGCCCAAAACCAAAAGUCCCCUGAUUCGGCACCUGAUUUGGCGUUUGUUGACUACUUUCUCCCAUCCUUACCGGCUCAUCCGGAGACAAGAAAGGAAAAAUUGGAGUAACCCCACUCGGAAACGGACCAGUGGGAGUAAUACACACAAAAGGUGAGGGUUGUGGAGUUGUAAUAGAUGACAUUUCACUUGCAGAUGGAAAUACAGGGGAAAGACAUCUCAAAGGCUUCACAUCUAAAACCCUAGUUUUAUCAAUGGUAGACCCACUUGGAUCAGAACCAAAACCUUGUUCCAUUAUUAAUCAAAUUCAACAACCAAACA
rnacentral:misc_RNA from 1 species